GCUUAACAAAAUAAAUCAGGGCCUGAGAAAACGGCUCAGCCGAAUUCAAUCCACAGAGUCCAGGUUGUGGACUGUGCUUAUCAUUCCAGCCUAGGGACGGGGAGACAGGAGCAUCCUGGGGUCGGGGGCCUCACAGCCUACUUCGUGAGCUCUAGAGCAGUAAGAGACGGGCACUAAUCAAUCAAUCAAUCAAUCAAUCAAUCAGUAAAUAAGUGGUGAUCAGCACCUAAGGAAUGACAGACACCCAAGGUUAAUAACCUCUGACCGUCACCUUCAUGCACAUAGAUAUGUGCACACACCAACACACAUUUGUACAUAUAUGGAUGUACACACACACACACACACACACACACACACACACACACAAUCAGCAGGUACCUCAGGCAGGGGUGAGCUUCCAUCACUGGACAUCUCCCAACACAGGUGGCUGGACAUGGGGCAGGUCAGUAAAGAGCUAAUGAAAUCAGACCGGGCAGAACUGAGUGAACUGAAUCUUUUAAAGUCCUAAUUCCGUCUCAUGAUUCUAAGGUUUAGGAGAGAUGAGGUUCAUUGAAGAGAGGAAAUGGUAUCUCGGUCAACUGGCUUCAAGGCUGACCCUUGACGCCCAAGCUCAGAGACUACCCUAAAUCCAUCGACCUUGGAAACAAAACUCUAGCUGCUGUACCUUUAAUCCACUGAUCUUGAUAUUUGCCUCUAGGGCUACAGAGGUCAAGGCUGGAUUGCCUUUCACAGCGAAACCAUUAAACGCAGUGAGCAAGGAAGCCUAUGCCUACACCUUCUCCUCCCCCAACAGUCCACCCUCACCACCUGUCCACCCAGCCUGGCUCCUACAAUGGCCGCUGCCUCAUGUAUAGCACUUGCUAAAUAGGCAUGAGAUGUGCCUACACUGGGUUUAUCGUUGCCCCAACAGAGUUGGAUGCUUCUAACACCAUCCUAAAUCACCUGAGAGCUUACUGGACACUCAGUGUUAUGUAUCUGUUGGUAUUCUAAGCUCCACCCCCCAGCUACCAGGGAACAGCCAGGUACGCUCCGCCCCACAGUUGCCUGGCAACAGCCAGCUGUGCUUGACACUAUAUAAAGAACUGCUUGCCCCCUCCUCUUCCUCUUGCUCUCUUUGUUCUUGUUUCUCUUGCCCCCUCCCUGUCCCUUCUCUCCUUAUCCCCCGCCUUCCCUCCACGUGCUCAUGGCCGGCCUCCUUUCCUCUCUUCUCUUCUCUCAUUAAACCUCUCCAUGUGGAAGCAUGUUGACUUGGUGUGAUCUGUCCAUACUGGCCCGAGAUUUAAACCCUAACAGUAUGUAUGCCAUACCUGUUAAAUCAUAGCUCCUGGGGAUCUGUCAAGUGGCUUUGACCAACUGACCAGUGGAUGAGGAGGCAAGCUGCAGGAGAGGUCCCACUGGAUUCAAAUCCAGAGGAAUAAAGCACACAACAUGCCAAGCAGAGUGACCUGGUUCAUUAAGAACGCUCCAUUGCACGGGGAUUCGAUCCUGGAAAACAACAUGGCCCUGGGCGGACAGUGACCAUCUUUAUGCUUGUGGCUGUGGCCACUGCAUACUCAGCAGCAGUUGGACAACUGCUAGGCUUCCCAGGCCACCUGAAGAGAUGUAAUGUGGGCCUUAGACCAAGUCAACACCAGUCUCAUCAAAGAACGAGGGUUCCUGUUGGACAGGUCAUUAGUAGAGGAAUUUUCAUUCCUCUAUUAUAGGCAAAAAUUCCAACACUUCUGUGGCAUCACUGAUCUCUAAUUACAUAGCUUCUGGGUAACUGUAUCCAAGUAUUUACUGGUUAUGUUUCUUACCAAGAUGUGCCAACUUGCAUAAUUUCUUCACCCUGGGAAGGUAUAAGAACCUCCUUCCGAAACCAGAAUGUCCUGCGUUUAGCGGGAAUAGAAGUGCUUCUUGGAUAGGCCCGCUUCUUUUGUCCUGGGACUAUUUGCUUGAGUAGGGUCUCAUUAUUGAGUUCACUCUGUCCAUAAACCUUCAAUCCCCUUGCCUGAGCCUCACAUGCCGGGUACGCCACUAACCACCUGUUCUUGAAGAGCUGUUUCCAUCCUCAUCUAUGGAGAAAUCCCACCCGCUCAUCACCUCCAACAGUUUUGGAGCCCAGCCAAGUUGGCCUGCCUAGAUAUUUCCCACCAAGAAAGCCAAUGGUCCCUACCAGUGCCAAGACCUUUAGUACCAAGGCACAAAGCCGAGCUGUUUUUAUUGUCUGUUCAGUUUAGGUCAGGCUUAUAUCCCAGGCUGACCUUGAGCUUCUGAGUCCCCCGUGUGUGCUUGUCACCACACUGGGCAGCAAGCGCUGAAGCCUCGGCACAGGACUUGGUGUGAGGUGAAUGUGUUCCAACUGACCUCUAUCUCUAAGCCUCUCCGACACCACAGCUGUGCUUGAAUAGGUCAGUGUCUUGUGGUAUCCACCCUUAUUAUCCUAGAUUUAAAAUUCGAGUUUGUAGAAAUUGUUGAAUCAACUAGAAGAAAGUACGUCAGUUCUCAAAUUAGCUAUGUCACUGGAGAGGGCUGGGGAUGUGCCGUUUUCAAUCCAGCUGUGUUUUAUUUAAUCUAGUUUUGUGUUUUUGACUUUGGGAUGCAUUGAUUAUCUCCAGUGGGUUAACUUUUCUAAUUAUAUUUUGUACAGUCUAAUAUUAUCAAGCAUUUAUAUUCUCUGAGCACACAAGGUUUGACAAUGAGAAUUAAAGGACAGACUCAGCUUUUCCAAAACCAAAAUGAAAACCAAACCCAGAGCCACACGCGUCUCAGAGGUGAGAUGGGAAAGCACACUUGGACAGUGAAGCAGCAAACUGAUCGUGCAGUGCCCUGGCAUAAUCACACCCAGACCCGUGGACAGGGAUCGAAGACGCCCGCUAACUCCUGAAAAGGACAGACUUUCCAGCAUCCUCUUUAGAGUUAAUGGAGCUUGAUGAGAAAAUCAGGAAGCAAGGACCAGUGAGUUCCUGGGUGGUCUUUCAAGUGAAAAAACUGGGAGCAAGAACACCAACCCGUUUUAAAAGAGCAUUUAAAAUGAACUUUAUUGUUUGAACUUUACAAGUAGUCUUUAGAGUCUUCAAACAAGAACUCUGUUGCAAAACUCUAAUAAACAGCUUGCCCCAAGUCCCCAAAGAAACAGGAAAACCAAAUGAAAAGGAAACUGGGAAAGAUAAGCAAGACUUCAGAAUGCUCGGGUGUUAGCAGUAUUUCUCAUUUACAGAAAGACAUUGGGCAAUGUACAGUCUCCUUCACAGACAUUAGAGUCAACCCCAUCUUUACAAAGCAUUCCCAAAUCCUCUUAUUUCACGGUAGAACUGUUAAUGGGGGGAAAAAAACCUCAGAGAAAUCACAUUGUGAAAGUACAG
ensembl:lncRNA